AGGCCUAUAGCUCAACUGGUAGAGCACGAGACUUUGACUCUCGGGGUUCUUGGUUCAAGUCCAAGUAGGUCUGCCA
rnacentral:tRNA from 1 species